GGGGACGAAAUGAUUCGACAGUAUGAUGCUCUUUAACACUGCAGGCCGACCUUGAAUGUGGUCGCUAAACAAGUUCAAAUCUAUAAAUGCUGACGCUGAACAAGCAGAAGCAGCCCAAUACGCACGAGCAUAUCAAUUUGCUUACGCUUAAAGGGCCAUCUCUUGAGUUAUUUUCCCGAUGAUGCUUGAGAGGUGUAAAUUUAGUUGGGAUGCAGCCUUCCUGGUUUGACGUUCCAAGGAUGGUCAAGUUCAAUACGUCUUGAUCCCCUCCUUCCUGUCAAUCGGUUACGGAAGGAAUGACAACUAUUGAUUGACUACGCCUGUAGACGUGUUUUGAACAUUAUUCUGGACGAGAGGUCACUCCUCUCCGUCUCCACAA
rnacentral:tmRNA from 1 species